rnacentral:snoRNA from 1 species
GAAUCCCUGAAUGAAGAACAGCAUUUAUACCAUAGCCGUUGGCUUCAAGCAGAGGCCUGAGGACCGUCUUCUCGUGGUCUGUGACUGUCCUGGAACCUCAGGAGGGAAUGGCUAUUUCAUUUGGAAGGAAAAACC